GACAGAGGGUGCAAACGUUGUUCGGAAUUACUGGGCGUAAAGCGCGUGUAGGCGGCAGCGUGUGUCGGGCGUGAAAUCCCACGGCUUAACCGUGGAAGUGCACCCGAAACUGCGCAGCUAGAGUCCUGGAGAGGAAGAUGGAAUACUUGGUGUAGAGGUGAAAUUCGUAGAUAUCAAGUGGAACACCGGUGGCGAAGGCGGUCUUCUGGACAGUGACUGACGCUGAGACGCGAAAGCGUGGGGAGCAAACAGG
rnacentral:rRNA from 1 species